rnacentral:sRNA from 1 species
UCGCAUUGGGACCUGGAUGACUGAGCGAU